GGAGUUGUGGCUCAGAGGUAGAGCGCCUGCCUACCAUGCAUGAGGCACUGAGUUUGAUUCUCAGCACCA
rnacentral:tRNA from 1 species